rnacentral:rRNA from 1 species
AUGUCCAUCGCCAGCUCUUCUUCCUCCGCUGCCAUGGCUGCUCCCUCCCUCGCUGCUCUCGGCCACACCAUCACCGAGAAGCUCACACGCGACAAUUUUUUGGUGUGGAAGGCCCAGGUCCUCCCACACAUCCGCAUCGCUGGUCUGAUGGGCCACCUCGAUGGCACAACGGCAGAGCCCGUUGCCGUUCUGAUAGCGGAGACGGAGGUCUCCGGGAAGAAGGAGGUCACUUCGACCCCCAACCCUGCCCAUGGCGUUUGGGUCAUGCAGGACCAGCAGGUCCUUGCGUUUUUGCUUGCCUCCUUCUCACGGGAGGUACUUCUUCAGGUCCACGACAUCCCGACGGCCACUGGAGUCUGGACACCGAUCCUCGCCAUGUUCGCAUCGCAGUCCCGUGCGCGGGGUAUCCAGCUCCGCACGCAGCUCGUCAACACCAAAAAGGGCGGUCUGUCUGCCACCGCCUACUUCGCCAAGAUGAAGGGCCUCGCCGAUGAGAUGGCGGCGGCUGGGAAGCGCCUUGACGAAGACGACCUUGUCUCUCAUAUCCUCGGUGGGCUGGACUCGGAUUACAGUCCGUACGUCGCGGCCCUCUCUGCUCGCACGGACCAGACUAUCGGUCUCAGCGAGCUGUACGCUCCUACUCUCGGCGGAGGCGCGGCUGGACUCCCAGAACAGCACCCACUCCGGCUACUCCGUCAACCUCGCCUCCAAGGGGGGAAUCGUCCCCAGCCUGGUCGCUCCUCUGCUGGUAACAGCGGCGGAGGUGGAUCACGCCCAGAAGGCGGGAGUGGAGGCCCUCUCAAGUGCCAGAUCUGCAAGAAAGAUGGCCAUGGCGCAUGGAGCUGCGCCAAGCGCUUCGACAAGAGCUUCAACAACAACCAGAAGCGCUAUGGUGGAGGUGAUCGCCAUGGUGGAGGUGGCCGCCAAGGUGCAGGUGCUCGUUCUGUCAACACAGCUGCUACAACCUCCUAUGGCGUAGAUACCAAUUGA